AUUGAACGCUGGCGGCAUGCCUUACACAUGCAAGUCGAACGGCAGCAUGGAGAGCUUGCUCUCUGAUGGCGAGUGGCGAACGGGUGAGUAAUGCAUCGGAACGUACCAUGUAAUGGGGGAUAACGUAGCGAAAGUUACGCUAAUACCGCAUACUACCUGAGGGUGAAAGCAGGGGAUCGCAAGACCUUGCGUUAUACGAGCGGCCGAUGUCAGAUUAGCUAGUUGGUGAGGUAAAGGCUCACCAAGGCGACGAUCUGUAGCGGGUCUGAGAGGAUGAUCCGCCACACUGGGACUGAGACACGGCCCAGACUCCUACGGGAGGCAGCAGUGGGGAAUUUUGGACAAUGGGGGCAACCCUGAUCCAGCCAUGCCGUGUGAGUGAAGAAGGCCUUCGGGUUGUAAAGCUCUUUCGGCCGGGAAGAAAUCGCACAGGCUAAUACUCUGUGUGGAUGACGGUACCGGCAUAAGAAGCACCGGCUAACUACGUGCCAGCCGCCGCCGUAA
rnacentral:rRNA from 1 species